rnacentral:rRNA from 1 species
UAAUUGAAGAGUUUGAUCAUGGCUCAGAUUGAACGCUGGCGGCAGGCUUAACACAUGCAAGUCGA